rnacentral:rRNA from 1 species
UUUAAUGAGAGUUUGAUCCUGGCUCAGGACGAACGCUGGCGGCGUGCCUAAUACAUGCAAGUAGAACGCUGAAGAGAGGAGCUUGCU